AGAUAUUUCAUCAUAUUUUUUAAAACUUCAAUAUUCACAUUUAUUUUGAAAAGUAUUGUUUUUUAAAGGAUGCCGUAGGAGCAAUCGAUGAUACACAUAUAGCUGCGUAUGUGCCUUUAGAGGAGCAAGGGAUCUGCACAUGAUGGUCGAUUGUUACGGAGUGCAAUAUUACGCCAAGGACAUAAGCUAACAAUUCCUGUUGGUAAAUAUUACCUUGUUGACGCUGGCUUCCCAUCGGUUUCGGGUUUUCUUGCACCAUACC